rnacentral:rRNA from 1 species
UACGAGAGCCUCGAGCGUUAUCCGGAAUUAUUGGGCGUAAAGGGUGCGUAGGUUGUUCUGUUAGUCUUUUUGUUAAAUCCCCGAGCUUAACUUGGGAACCGCAAAAGAAACGGCAGGACUUGAAAGUGUGAGAGGCGUACGGAACUCAUGGUGUAGGGGUGAAAUCCGUUGAUAUCAUGGGGAACACCAAAUGCGAAGGCAGUACGCUGGCGCAUAUUUGACACUGAAGCACGAAAGCGUGGGUAGCGAAUGGG